UACGUAGGGGGCAAGCGUUGUCCGGAAUGACUGGGCGUAAAGCGCGCGCAGGCGGUCUUUUAAGUCUGAGGUGAAAGGCUGGGGCUCAACCCUGGCAUCGCCUUGGAAACGGGAAGACUUGAGGACUGGAGAGGCAAGGGGAAUUCCACGUGUAGCGGUGAAGUGCGUAGAGAUGUGGAGGAAUACCAGUGGCGAAGGCGCCUUGCUGGACAGUGCCUGACGCUGAGGCGCGAAGGCGUGGGGAGCAAACAGGAUUAGAUACCCUGGUAGUCCACGCGGUAAACGAUGAGUGCUAGGUGUCGGAGGGUACCACCUCCGGUGCCGAAGGAAACCCAAUAAGCACUCCGCCUGGGGAGUACGGUCGCAAGACUGAAACUCAAAGGAAUUGACGGGGGCCCGCACAAGCAGUGGAGCAUGUGGUUUAAUUCGAAGCAACGCGAAGAACCUUACCAGGACUUGACAUCCCCCUGACGGGAGUAGAGAUAUUCCGUCCCUUCGGGGCAGGGGAGACAGGUGGUGCAUGGUUGUCGUCAGCUCGUGUCGUGAGAUGUUGGGUUAAGUCCCGCAACGAGCGCAACCCUUGAUCAGUGUUACCAGCACGUAAAGGUGGGGACUCACUGAUGACUGCCGGUGAUAAACCGGAGGAAGGCGGGGAUGACGUCAAAUCAUCAUGCCCCUUAUGUCCUGGGCCACACACGUGCUACAAUGGGCGGUACAACGGGAAGCAAGAGAGCGAUCUGGAGCGAAACCCUAAAAGCCGUUCGUAGUUCGGAUUGCAGGCUGCAACCCGCCUGCAUGAAGCCGGAAUUGCUAGUAAUCGCGGAUCAGCAUGCCGCGGUGAAUCCGUUCCCGGGCCU
rnacentral:rRNA from 1 species